rnacentral:rRNA from 1 species
AAUCAACGCUGGCGGCGUGCCUCAGACAUGCAAGUCGAACGAGAAAGUUCCCUUCGGGGAGCGAGUAAAGUGGCGCACGGGUGAGUAACACGUAGGUAAUCUACCUUCGGGUGGGGAAUAACCCAGGGAAACUUGGGCUAACACCGCAUAAUGCAGCGGCACCACAUGGUGACAGUUGUUAAAGCGGGGGAUUUUAGGACCUCGCGCCUGAAGAGGAGCCGUGCGGCGGAUUAGCUUGGUUGGAAGGUAACGGCUUACCAAGGCGACGAUCCGUAGCCGGCCUGAGAGGGCGGUCGGCCACACUGACACUGACAUACGGGUCAGACUCCUACGGGAGGCAGCAGUCGGGAAUUUUGGGCAAUGGGCGAAAGCCUGACGCAGCGACGCCGCGUGAGGGAUGACGGCC